rnacentral:rRNA from 1 species
GUGCCAGCAGCCGCGGUAAGACGAGGGGUCCAAGCGUUGUUCGGAAUCAUUGGGCGUAAAGCGGGUGUAGGCGGCUCUAUAAGUCAGGAGUGAAAGCCCCGAGCUUAACUUGGGAAGUGCUUUUGAUACUGCAGAGCUUGAAUGUGGGAGAGGUUAGUGGAAUUCCAGGUGUAGUGGUGAAAUACGUAGAUAUCUGGAGGAACACCGGUGGCGAAGGCGACUAACUGGCCCAACAUUGACGCUGAGACCCGAAAGCAUGGGGAUCAAACAGGAUUAGAAACCCUGGUAGUCC